rnacentral:rRNA from 1 species
GACGAACGCUGGCGGCGUGCUUAACACAUGCAAGUCGAACGGAAAGGCCCUGCUUGCAGGGUACUCGAGUGGCGAACGGGUGAGUAACACGUGGGUGAUCUGCCCUGCACUUCGGGAUAAGCCUUGGAAACUGGGUCUAAUACCGGAUAGGAGCCAUUUUUAGUGGGAUGGUUGGAAAGUUUUUUCGGUGUAGGAUGAGCUCGCGGCCUAUCAGCUUGUUGGUGGGGUAAUGGCCUACCAAGGCGGCGACGGGUAGCCGGCCUGAGAGGGUGGACGGCCACAUUGGGACUGAGAGGCGGCCCAGAUGCCGAAGGGAGGCCGCAGUGGGGAAUAUUGAACCAUGGGCGCAAGGCUGAUGCAGCGACGCCGCGUGGGGGAUGACGGCCUUCGGGUUGUAAAAACCUUUCGCUAGGGACGCAGCUUUUUGUGACGGUACCUAGAGAAGAAGCACCGGCUAACUACGUG